UAUCUCUGUAGAGUCUGCAUAUCAAUAAGCGGAGGAAAAGAAACUAACAAGGAUUCCCUUAGUAACGGCGAGUGAAGCGGGAAGAGCUCAAAUUUGAAAUCUUCAAGGUUUUACCUUGACGAAUUGUAGUUUAAAGAAGUGUUUUCUGUUGAAGUUUUGGUAAAAGUUCUUUGGAAUAGGACAUCAUAGAGGGUGAGAAUCCCGUAUUUGACCGUUAUUUUCAGCUGUGUGAUACACUUUCAAAGAGUCGGAUUGUUUGGGAAUGCAGUCCAAAAUGGGUGGUAAAUUUCAUCUAAAGCUAAAUAUUGGCGAGAGACCGAUAGCGAACAAGUACCGUGAGGGAAAGAUGAAAAGAACUUUGAAAAGAGAGUUAAACAGUACGUGAAAUUGUCAAAAGGGAAGCGUUUGACACCAGUGUUGUUUUCUCGAAAAUCAAUUAAAAAUGGCUGGAUUUUGUGUUGUAUUGACCUUUAUAAGCUUUCUGCACUUUUUUCAUGUCUUUUUUAAUGCACUUUUCGUUUAACAAGUCAACAUCAGUUUCUUUUGUUGUAAAAAGGUCAUUGGAAGGUGGCUUUCUUUUCGGAGAAAGUGUUUAUAGCCUUUGACUCCUGCAAUCGGAGAGACUGAGGUCUGCAGCGUAGAUCCUUCUUGGAUUAGAUUCAUUUGUGCUAAGUUAUAGCUUUUUAUAGACAACUUGUUGACUAUAUUUAGUCUUGUAGCUUACUCGCUUAUGCAAUUUUACCUACGCUUAGGAUGUUGAACGCGCACAGAGUCUC
rnacentral:rRNA from 1 species